GUUCAAAAAACCUUUAUUCGCUAAAUAAACCACAAUUUCACAGGCAGUGAUAUUUUAAGUUCGUAUUGUGUUAGAAUUGUUAAACUGUGGAACUAUGUUUGUACGUCUGCUCCUUCGUAUUGUUAUGUCACUGUCUCCUCUUUUAAUUCAUACUUGCGCAAGACUUACAUCCACCUCACUAGUACUUCCUACACUCCUGACUUACCUAGUUCACACUCACUUAUCACGACUCAAUAAAAAAUAUCUAACAUUUCUCUCUUUGUCUUUUCAUUCUUUCUGCCUUUUCAUUCUCUUAGUCUUUUCAUUUAAUCUUCCUUGUCUUUGUUUCUUGUCUUUGUUUCUUGUCUAGUGGUGAGCACCCUGCAUGGGACAUAGUCUCGUUUGUGUUUCGCCACUUUCCUCGUCUUCUUGUACAAUGUAAUUGUCCGUUUAAGUUAUGUAAAUAUUCAGUUUUUUAUGUGCCAAAUUAAAGUUGUUAAAUUAAACUGGUAUUCCAGUCUGCAUACACCUAAUGCACCUAUCAAUGUUAACCCCCAGAGGGGGUCGGGUAUAUGUGGGGUAUUUAAUCAUCAAUUGCUCCCCACCCUGGGGAUUUUGAAUAGCAUUUUGGCCCCGAGUUGGGGCAAUUUGAACCAAAUGACUUUUAUUAACAUACUAUUUAUUGCAAAAUGGUGGGGCAUUUGACUAAUAUUUAUUGCCCGACGGUGGGACAUUUGAUUGAAAAUUUGCUCUAAAAAUCAAAUGCCCCACCUAUGCCUGACCCCCUCCUCUGGGGCUUAACAUUGAUAAGUGCAUAAUACAUAUAAUGAAUUAUUGGAUUUCACUAUGGCAUUUUGCACGUUCUGUCAUUGGUUCUGACAGGGGGUCAACCUAAAAAAUGUAUUGAUGCUUAUGUUGUACUGGAGUGAGCAAAUGACAUGAAAUUGCAUGUAUUUGCAACGAAACACAAGGCCAACACAUACAGUGAAAAAUUAAUUCCCUCUGAUGACUGUGUCUCGAUUUAGAGUUGACCACCCAUCAAAUUUAUGAUGUCAUAUGAAACACAAUAAUAUACAGUAUAAUAUUACUGACAGCUAAUUGUAGCAUAAAGUAUUUAAUGAUUUUAAUUUAUUGAGUAGCACAAUAUGCCAAAUUGGCAAUCCCUUUGUUAAUCUUGUCCACACAGUAAUUCAAAGAAGCCCUGCCCUCUGUACGAAGUUGUAUUAAUUGGAUUCUGUCCAAGAAAACGUCAUAAACUUUUUGAUCCAGAUGUUACAAAGUAUGAAUUCCAGAUUGGGAGACCAUAUAAAUAUUUUUAAUAAAUUCAUAUACUUUUUUUUAAGAAAUGUUCUAUUCCUUUAAAUGAUAGUGAUCAUGCAGUCACCAGAAUUCAUUUUCAUCAGCUUCCCCCUGGUUAUGACCCCCUGUAGGGAACCACCUAGGGUGCAGGUAUAAUUUUGUGAUGAAUGAUAAAAAAUUGCCCAAUAUAAAUGCCGAGCCAUAGAAAUAUUUUUAUUACCAUGGUCAUGACAACUACCCUGUCUGUUUGAUUGCAAUAUCAAAACUUGUUACUUUUACACUAUAAAACAACACAUACCUACUCUGAGAAGGGGAUGGGCAACAAAAACUCAUAUUUCAGUUUUUUCCCUUCCUAUCCAAUUCAAAUCAUGCUGGCCACGAAAACAAUUUCCUGAUUGCGAUACAAUAAAUUGCCAAAUGACUGACAAUUUGGGCUAGUGAUGCCCCUGAAUGCUACAAUGAUAGCUAGCAACCUCAUUGCUAUUAUAUCUCCAACCUUGAAUGUCCUAUUUAGUACAGUAGUUAAUUAAUUAAUGGCAGUAAUCAACAUGAAGUCAAGUACAUUUCUGGCCAUUGAUGAGAAAUAUUGUCCAGAAGCAGGGAUGGAUUUACUGGGGGGGGGGGUGCACCCCCCUAGCCCUGGCCAGAGAUGUUGCAGGGGAGGUGCUAUUUUUCAUGAUAAAGCAAAAAAGACAAAAUGAGAUACAGUAAUUUGAGUAAUAACAUGAUGAUAAGUGAACUGUGAACAAUUACAAUUCAAAUACAGUAGUUGAUGGGCGGGCGGCACACAUGACCAACACAACUUGGCACCAGAGGCACCCCCCCUACCAGAUCAUGCUGGAUCCAUCCCUGUCCAGAAGUACAGUGAAAUAACAAAAUAGGGUGCACUACAACAGCACUCUUCGCGGCUCCUGCCGGCUCUAUACUGACCCUGUUUCACACGCAAUAUUUUCCUUAUUCAGUCGCUAACACACCUUUUGUAUCCCACUAUGAAGAACAUCAACAUUUCCACCAAAACCCCGAAAAAAUAAUCAUUUUAUAGACGAAAGAAUAAAAUAUUUCAAACAAUUUGUUUUGCUUUUGCCAACGCAUGCGCAGUUCGGUCGACAUACAGUUUUCUGUAUGUCUGAGAUGGAUUAUCCUAGCCUGCGUGCAGGCCCAAGGGAACUUGAUAGUGGGCCUGCAACCAUCGCCCGGUAUUUUGAAAUACGCCCCUUUUCAUAACACGCCCAUUCGCGCGUCAAUUGUCAAAAAAGAACCAAUGACAGCACCCAAAUAUUAACAAACAAACUCGCAUUAAAAUGUUGCGGGGUUUUCUCUGCUUAUUCAGAACACUAAUAAACAAUGUGUAAAUGGCUGCGUUUUAACUCCAAAAAAAGCAAGCAACGCAGUCAGUAAUUGCCAAAUUUGCAAGUGCUCAUUUUCAACUAAAAUCGGAACAGGCAAAUUAGGACGAAUUUCAACAGAAAACCAGUCUCAAACUUCAAAUCAUGAGGGAAGUCGGGCGACCACAUUAGGUUAUGUGCUUCGCUGUCGCCAUUGGCAUUGUUAUAAAUAAAUUGUCUCACUUAUCAGAUCGUGUGUGCAAUUCUUGUUGGCGGCGGAAAGUACGAAAUUUAUUUCAUUUGGUAAAGAACUCUACAAAAGAAGAGAGCGUUCCGAGUCCAGAUCGUUUCGUUUCGUUUCAAACGGCAAUUUAAUACCGCCUUCUGUUUCGCUCUCUCUGCGAAGCCUUGUAAAGUGUUUCGAAUAGGUUUAGGCCCGGUUUAGACGCCGUGCUUUUCAUGAGCCGAACUUAAUACAAUGAAUUAAGCACAUGAGAAGCACGGCGUCUAAAUCAAUUAAGCACUGCACUUAAUAUUAAGCACGGCUAAAUUAAUAAGUUCGCCUGGUUCAGGCGUGCUACACGGCUGAAGCACAUGUUGAUUUAUACUGCCGUGCUUUACAUGAGCCGUACCAAAUGCAUAAAUUAGAACAUUUAUAAUACGCGUGCGUUGAUUGGUCGAGAAGCGUGUUUCUACGCGGGAAAUUUCCCGCCUAAACUUACAAUCGUAAACAAAACAAUUUCAAUGCAAAUUAAGAAUUGUUUAAUACAGUCAAAAUACAAAAACCUUCCCGCUUCUGGCUUGUUUUGUAUUUCUGUAAUUUGUUCUAUUUUUUCUAUAGUGAUUUAAUACCGCUUUAUCGGCAAAUAUCGCGGUAGAAUUUCCCAUUCUUUUCUUUAUAUACGUCAAUUUGUAGCAAAGGAUGCACCUUUCGUUAGACUCUUUGCAUAAAAGUUGCGAAUUUAGGCUUAUAGCGAUAUUUGCUGAUAAAGGCAAAAAGGGUUUCUUGCAGUAAAUUGAUGGAGCAAAGGUCGGCAUUAUUACGCAAUGAGAAUUUGUAAAUAUAUCGAGUCUACUACAAAUCUUUUUUUAGUUAUAUUAUGAAAUAAAUAUAAAACAUUUAUUUUGUAUGACCCACACAGUUAUAGAAACACUUGUAGUAGUUUGGGAGAACUCGAAUAACGUGGAAAACUCGCCCUAAGCGGCCUAUAGGUCUCGUUUCCCCACACAUUAUAUCCAGGCAUUAUGCUAUGUUUGUAGUAAUAAGGCGUUUCAAAAAGCAAUUGAAAUUUUUAAUAACCGCAAACGUGUAGACGCUCAGAAAUGCCAAGAUUGUAUGUGAUAAACCCUUUUUUCUUAUUAUGAAAUGUCACUCGCCCCAGGUUUCGAAGUGAAGCAGCGCAAAUUAUUAAGUACGGCUCAUGAAAAGCACGCCUGUCUAAAUCAAAAUUGG
rnacentral:lncRNA from 1 species